GCAAGGGGAGCGGCGAACGAGGUAGUAACACGUGGGUACGAACCGAGAAGUCGGGCAUAGCUAGCCGAAAGGUUAGGUAAUUCCCGAUGUGACGGCAACGUCAAAGGAGCAAUCCGCUUCUUGAUCGGCCCGUGAGAUAUCAGCUAGUUGGUAGGGUAACGGCCUACCAAGGCUAUGACGUCUAGGGGAGCUGAGAGGCUGACCCCCACCGAUGGAACUGAGACACGGUCCAUACACCUACGGGUGGCUGCAGUCGAGAAUCUUCCACAAUGGGCGAAAGCCUGAUGGAGCGACGCCGCGUGCUGGAUGAAGUCCUUCGGGACGUAAACAGCUUUUAUGCGUGAGGAAAUAAUUGACGUUAGCGCAUGAAUAAGGGGCUCCUAACUCUGUGCCAGCAGGAGCGGUAAGACAGAGGCCCCAAGCAUUACCCGGAAUCACUGGGCGUAAAGGGUGUGUAGGCGGUUGUGUUAGUCCUUUGUGAAAGCCCGCGGGCUCAACCCGUGGAACGCAGGGGAAACGGCACGGCUUACGAGGGUGCGAGAGGUGCACGGAACUCAUGGUGUAGGGGUGAAAUCCGUUGAUAUCAUGGGGAACACCGAUUGCGAAGGCAGUGCACUGGCGCAUUCCUGACGCUGAGACACGAAAGCGUGGGUAGCGAAUGGGAUUAGAUACCCCAGUAGUCCACGCCCUAAACGAUCCUGACUGGCUUUUCGGAGUAUCGACCCUCUGAGAGGCGAAGCUAACGCGUUAAGUCAGGCGCCUGGGUAGUACGGCCGCAAGGCUAAAACUCAAAGGAAUAGACGGGAGCUCGCACAAGCGGUGGAGCAUGCGGCUUAAUUCGAUGGUAAACGAAGAACCUUACCAGGGUUUGAAACCCA
rnacentral:rRNA from 1 species